rnacentral:misc_RNA from 1 species
UGGCUCUGGCAUCGAUGAAGAACGCAGCGAAAUGCGAUAAGUAAUGUGAAUUGCAGAACUCAGCGAAUCAUCGAAUCUUUGAACGCACAUUGCGCCCGCCAGUAUUCUGGCGGGCAUGCCUGUUCCAGCGUCAUUUCAACCCUCAAGCCCCGCUUGGUGUUGGGGUCCUACGGCUGCCCGUAGGCCCCGAAAAUUAGUGGCGGACCCGCCCUGGCUCCGAGCGUAGUAGCUUAAUCUCGCUUAUAGCCCGCGGCGCGUGCCGGCCGUAAAUCCCCCCAUUUAUCAAGGUUGACCUCGGAUCAGGUAGGAAUACCCGCUGA